UCAGACGAUGCGUCAUGCAUAUCAAUAAGCGGAGGAAAAGAAACUAACAAGGAUUCCCUUAGUAACGGCGAGUGAAGCGGGAAGAGCUCAAAUUUGAAAUCUUCAAGGUUUUACCUUGACGAAUUGUAGUUUAAAGAAGUGUUUUCUGCUGAAGUUUUGGUAAAAGUUCUUUGGAAUAGGACAUCAUAGAGGGUGAGAAUCCCGUAUUUGACCAUUAUUUUCAGCUGUGUGAUACACUUUCAAAGAGUCGGAUUGUUUGGGAAUGCAGUCCAAAAUGGGUGGUAAAUUUCAUCUAAAGCUAAAUAUUGGCGAGAGACCGAUAGCGAACAAGUACCGUGAGGGAAAGAUGAAAAGAACUUUGAAAGAGAGUUAAACAGUACGUGAAAUUGUCAAAAGGGAAGCGUUUGACACCAGUGUUGUUUUCUCGAAAAUCAAUUAAAAAGAGUUAGGAUUUUGUUGUGUAUUGACCUUAACAGCUUGCAUUUCAAUUUUCUUGCUUUUUUUAAUGCACUUUUCGUUUAACAAGUCAACAUCAGUUUCUUUUGUUGUAAAAAGGUCAUUGGAAGGUGGCUUUCUUUUCGGAGAAAGUGUUUAUAGCCUUUGACUCCUGCAAUCGGAGAGACUGAGGUCUGCAGCGUAGAUCCUUCGGGGUUAGAUACAUUUGUGCUAAGUUAUAGCUUUUUAUAGACAACUUGUUGACUAUGAUUAGUCUUGUAGCUUACUCGCUUAUGCUAUUUUACCUACGCUUAGGAUGUUGAGUCGUAGAGCACGCAG
rnacentral:rRNA from 1 species